CACGUAGGGUGCGAGCGUUUGUCCGGAAUUAUUGGGCGUAAAGAGCUCGUAGGCGGUGUGUCGCGUCGGCCGUGAAAACCUGCAGCUUAACUGUGGGCGUGCGGUCGAUACGGGCAGACUGGAGUACUGCAGGGGAGACUGGAAUUCCUGGUGUAGCGGUGGAAUGCGCAGAUAUCAGGAAGAACACCCGUGGCGAAGGCGGCUCUCUGGAACGCAACUGACGCUGAGACGCGAAAGCGUGGGGAGCAAACAGG
rnacentral:rRNA from 1 species